UCCAUAUCUCUCCACCUUAUCUCUUCCUCUCCCUCACUCACUCCUACCUUGCCACUCCUAGCUGCUGCUCCUCCUCUUUGUUGUGUCGCCGUCGUCCGCUUUGGGUCUCUAGUCUCCUGCCGAACAGGUUCUUGAACCCGUGCACCAGCCCGGAGUUGAAGCUCCUCACCUUGUCGUUGUCUGGUAAUUGGAUUAAACAGUCUGUCACCACAAGUAGGAGGAGACACCGCAGCAGCUGGAGAAGCUGGAGAAGAAGCAUGGGCGGUGGAAGAAGGGGGAGGCGGACAAGAAGAUGCUACUGCUGAAGAAGGCAACACCCAUGAUUGAGCUGCCGUCUAGGGAGAGGAAGACAGUCGAGAGGCACACGGAGCUCGCCUCGCGCAUCACACCCGUCAAGAAGUCCCUUGCUAUUCUCCAGGGCUCUUGAACUAAGCUGGAGGACAUCCCCAAUGCCUCAUUUUAGUCUUUGUUUGGUAAUUGGAUUAAUUAGGAGUGAUUGUACUUUCUAUGUUUAGCUAAAAGCAUGCGAUUUGCAUACUUGCA